rnacentral:tRNA from 2 species
GGAGACCCCAGCCGAGGGAUGGCGGCGGCGCCGGCUUCGAACACCGGUUGCGGUAACACGCGUGGGAGUUCGAUCCUCCCGGUCUCCG